UGCAAGUCGAACGAACUUAACCAUUAGUUUACUAUUGGAGCGGUUAGUGGCGGACUGGUGAGUAACACGUAAGCAACCUGCCUAUCAGAGGGGAACAACAGUUAGAAAUGACUGCUAAUACCGCAUAUGCCUUAGAAUCACAUGGUUCAAAAGGGAAAGGAGCAAUCCGCUGAUAGAUGGGCUUGCGUCUGAUUAGCUAGUUGGUGGGGUAACGGCCUACCAAGGCGACGAUCAGUAGCCGAACUGAGAGGUUGAACGGCCACAUUGGGACUGAGAUACGGCCCAGACUCCUACGGGAGGCAGCAGUCGGGAAUAUUGCGCAAUGGAGGAAACUCUGACGCAGUGACGCCGCGUGCAGGAAGAAGGUUUUCGGAUUGUAAACUGCUUUAGACAGGGAAGAACAAAGACAGUACCUGUAGAAUAAGCUCCGGCUAACUACGUGCCAGCAGCCGCGGUAAUACGUAGGGAGCGAGCGUUAUCCGGAUUUAUUGGGUGUAAAGGGUGCGUAGACGGGAAGUCAAGUUAGUUGUGAAAUCCCUCGGCUUAACUGAGGAACUGCAACUAAAACUGAUUUUCUUGAGUACUGGAGAGGAAAGUGGAAUUCCUAGUGUAGCGGUGAAAUGCGUAGAUAUUAGGAGGAACACCGGUGGCGAAGGCGACUUUCUGGACAGAAACUGACGUUGAGGCACGAAAGUGUGGGGAGCAAACAGGAUUAGAUACCCUGGUAGUCCACACCGUAAACGAUGGAUACUAGGUGUAGGGGAUAUUAAAAUUCUCUGUGCCGCCGCUAACGCAAUAAGUAUCCCACCUGGGGAGUACGGCCGCA
rnacentral:rRNA from 1 species